UACCAGCUCUCCGAGUGGUAGGGAUGAUUAUUGGGCUUAAAGCGUCCGUAGCCGGCUUAGCAAGUCUCCUGUUAAAUUCAGCGACCUAAUCGUUGAGCCGCGGGAGAUACUAUUAGGCUAGGAGGCGGGAGAGGUCGACGGUACUUCUGGGGUAGGGGUGAAAUCCUAUAAUCCCGGGAGGACCACCAGUGGCGAAGGCUGUCGACUAGAACGCGCUCGACGGUGAGGGACGAAAGCUGGGGGAGCGAACCGGAUUAGAUACCCGGGUAGUCCCAGCUGUAAACGAUGCGGGCUAGGUGUUGGGGUGGCUACGUGCCACUUCAGUGCCGCAGGGAAGCCAUUAAGCCCGCCGCCUGGGGAGUACGGCCGCAAGGCUGAAACUUAAAGGAAUUGGCGGGGGAGCACCACAAGGCGUGAAGCUUGCGGUUC
rnacentral:rRNA from 1 species